UGCAACGGCCGGUAAUCGAACUCGGGCCCGCCCGCGUGGCAGGCGAACAUUUUACCACUGAACCACCUAUGC